rnacentral:rRNA from 1 species
UAAUUGAAGAGUUUGAUCAUGGCUCAGAUUGAACGCUGGCGGCAGGCCUAACACAUGCAAGUCGAGCGGGGUUUUCGGA